UCCAGACUCCUACGGGAGGCAGCAGUGAGGAAUAUUGGUCAAUGGGCGGGAGCCUGAACCAGCCAAGUCGCGUGAGGGAAGACGGUCCUAUGGAUUGUAAACCUCUUUUGUCGGGGAGCAAAAGACGCCACGCGUGGCGUUCCGAGAGUACCCGAAGAAAAAGCAUCGGCUAACUCCGUGCCAGCAGCCGCGGUAAUACGGAGGAUGCGAGCGUUAUCCGGAUUUAUUGGGUUUAAAGGGUGCGCCGGCGGCACGGCAAGCCGGCGGUCAAAUCGCGGGGCUCAACCCCGCCCAGCCGUCGGAACUGCCGGGCUAGAGUGGGCGAGAAGUGCGCGGAAUGCGUGGUGUAGCGGUGAAAUGCAUAGAUAUCAGGAGGAACACCGGCGGCGAAGGCGGCUUACUGGACUGUAACUGACGUUGAGGCUCGAAGGCGUGGGGAGCAAACAGGAUUAGAUACCCGCGUAUA
rnacentral:rRNA from 1 species